CCAAAGGAGCAACUUUGGUGGCAUGGAAUAAAACAUUUAGGUCGAAGAAUAAAGUAACUUCUUUUCCUUAUUCUAUUUAAUUUUUUCCUUAUAUAUGCUUAGAUUUAUAUUUAUGUUUGUUGAUUUUGUAUAAACAUGUGGGUAUAAGAUAAUGAAUAUUUUAUGAAUUCUGUAUCGCCUUUUCUCUUCCUAUUUUAUGAAUUUUCGUAUUGCCUUUUCUCUUCCUAUUUUAUGAAUUUGUGUAUUGCCUUUUUUCUUCCUCUUUUAUCAUUUGUUUUCUUGGUUUUUCCUUAUAAUUUAUUAUCUAAGCUUCUCGAGAAACUUAAUUCUAUUACUUUUUUUUAAAGUUUAUAAUAGCCAUGUUCAUCGUUAGUGCUAUAGAUCUUCCUCACUCUUAUGUAUUUUAGAAAUUUGUUUUCAUUUCAACAUAACUCCCUAUCUAUUUAUGUUACAUUUUUGGUCUGGUGGGUUCUAGACUGAAAUCUGUGAAAAGUUCCGUAUUGAAGAUAUGUUAUAGGUUAUAAUUUUUCCUUCGGAAUAAUUUACAAUCAUAUUUGUAUUUAAUUUCAUGGUAAAAUUAUUUGAUUUUUUGUUUUGAUAGGUUGAUCAUUGUGAAGUUUAAUCUCAAAAAAAGUUCUAUCCAGAUUUUUUCUAACCUUAUGGAUAAAGAACUAAUCCCUUUCACGAACUGUUUCUCCUAAUAAAUAUUACUCUUAGAAGUCGAACCCUGAAGUUUUGUCCUUUUCAAGUCAAAUGAACUAUUAGAAACGAAUAAUUAUGGUUGAAGAUAUGCAUAUAAUGAGAGGAACCUCAAGUGGUUGUAAUUAGAUUCUUGUUUUAUAAAGCCUUGAUUGCAGCAUUUUGGAGAUGCCACAACCACAUUGGAGAAUAUUGGAAUGACAAGUGGAGAUGUUACAACAAAACCACAUUCGGUAAGUCCCUGAAUAUUUUACAUCUGUAUACAACAUAAAAAGCAAGAAUUUAUAUAAGAGUGAGGAUCCACUUACUCUAAGAUUUAAACUUCCUUAUCCUAGCCAUCAAUCCUAGGGAAAUCUAAUGGUUUAAAUUUACUCACUACUUCAAACCAUUAGAUUUCCCAAGAAUUGAUGGCUAAGAUAGGUUGGAGUAAGUGGAUCCCACCUCUUUAUAUAAUAGUACUUUUUGAAGAAAAUAGGAGGAGCCCUUACCAUUGUAUAAUAGUUGCUUGCUUAUACAAAUAUGUGAAAAUUUUGAAUAACUUAUUUUUCAUAUACACUAGUUUAAGACAUGUAUAUAGCCUUAUCCCUCUGUAUCCUUAAAUAGUUGAAGAAUUGUCAUUCCACAUAGUUCUUGAAUACACAGAUAAAGGUUCUACCUUGUUUUGCCAUCCCAAAUCUGACAAACUUUAACCUCAAAUUGGAAUCCACCAUCAUUUUUUAUCAUUAAUUGUCGUUGAACAAAAUCCACUAAACAGACUAUAACUACCUUCUUUUUUUUGCAUUUCCAUGUAAGAUUGCUUUAGUAGAUUAGGUCAAAAUAUGACCAUCUUUGGGAAGCAACAUUGGAAAUUUUAAUAGUUAAGUUUUGCUAGGUAUACACAGUUACAUGCUAAAGACAUUGUCCAUUUGUUAUUGAAUUUUUACAAGUCUGAAUACAUUUGUAAUCUUUACUUUAAUUUUGUUGUUAAGCUAAUUUUAAAUAUUGGAUAUUUUUUAAGCGAUAUUAAAGUAGUAAAAUAUUUUUGGAUUCUAGUAUGACAUCAAAGUUUGUUAUUUUGGGAUGACAAAGCAUGAUAAAGCUUAUAUUUUCCUGCUUGUGCUAAUGUUAAUGGCCUAAUAAUGUUUAGGACAUUUUAUAUUUGGAAUACAUUUUACUAUAUUGUCUUCAUUUUAACAAGAGGCUAUGGCUUCUUAUCUUCCUCCUUUUGAAUAAUUUUUUUAUAAGCAAGUAGUCUUGUCCAUUCUACUUCAAAAGAAGUUCUAAAUUGGUGACACAUGAGGUGAGUUUUUAAUCUGUUUUCUAUUCAAAAUAACAUUUUUUAUUCAGGCUUUUCUAGAAGUUUGCACUCAAUGAAAUUACUUCAACAAUCCGGAUUAUCAAAAAAAUUAAAUUGUUAUAAUUAGAUUCGUGUUUUAUAAAUAUAUUGCACCAUUUUGGAGAUGCCACAACAAAACCACAUUGGAGACAUUUUGAAUGGUAAGUGAAGAUUUUACAACAAAACCACAUUUAGUCAAUCCCUAAAUAUUUUACAUGUGUAUCCAACAUGAAAAACAAGACACUUUUUGAAGAAAAUAGGAGGAGCCCUUACCUUUUGUAUAAUAGUUGCUUGCUUAUACAAAUAUGUGAUAAAUUUGAAUAAGUUAUUUUUCAUAUACACUAGUUUAAGACAUGUAUAUAGCCUUAUCACUCGGUAACCCUAAAUAGUUGAAGAAUUGUCAUUCCACAUAGUUGUUGUAUACACAGAUAAAGGUUCUACCUUGUUUUGCCAUCCCAAAUCUGACAAACUUUAACCUCAAAUUGGUAUCCACCAUCAUUUUUUGUCAUUCAUUGUCGUUGAACAAAAUCCACUAAACAUAGAGAAUUACUUUAACGAUGAUAUUAAAGAUAAAGAAUAUUAUAUAAAUGGAACAUGUAAGAAGAUAAUGACAUAUGGACAAUGUGUUUAGAAUGAAAAUAUGCUUGACUAAACAAAAUAUUCCAAGUUUCAUUACAAACAUGGGUUUAGAAAACUUGAAUAUAAUUACCUUCUUUUUUUUUUACAUUUCCAUGUCAGAAUGCUUUUGUAGAUUAGGUCAAAAUAUUACCAUCUUUGGGAAGCAACAUUGGAAAUUUUAAUAGUCAAGUUUUGAUAGGUAUACACAGUUACAUGCUAAAGACAUUGUCCAUUUGUUAUUGAAUUUUUACAAGUCUGAAUACAUUUAUAGUCUUUACUUUAAUUUUGUUGUUAAGCUAAUUUUAAAUAUUGGAUAUUGUUUAAGGGAUAUUAAAUUAGUAAAAUAUUUUUGGAUUCUAGUAUGACAACAAAGUUUGUUAUUUUGGGAUGACAAAGCAUGAUAAAGCUUAUAUUUUCCUGCUUGUGCUAAUGUUAAUGGCAUGAUAAUGUUUAGGACAUUUUAUAUUUGGACUACAUUUUACUAUAUUGUCUUUCUUGCAAUUUGCCAAAAGAAGAUAUCAUCUCAUUCAUUCAAUAAAUUUCAAUUUACAUUGUUGAGUAUUUAUACAUUGAAGAAGAAAAAGGAAGGAAGAAAUGAAGCUGGUUCUGUUAUAACAGAAUCUGUUUUCUUGGUUAGCAAGAAAACGAAAAUGUAUCUAAUCUAGGCUAGAUGCAUCAAUGAAUGAUAAGGCUAUAAUGAAUCCAGGUACAUUUAGUAUGAAUUGAAGUAAAAGUAGACUAGAUUCAUUUGUUGAUGAGUAGCUUACGAAGCAAGGCACUUGUUGGUAGCUUAUCUUCCUUUGUUUUGUUGCUGGAAAGUAUAUCAAUAGCCUCCCUCAAGCUGGAGAAUAGAGAUUGAUGAUUCCCAGCUUGGCAAGAAGAUAGUGAAAAGGAGAUGGAUCCAAGGGUUUUGUGAGAAUGUUAGCCACCUGUUCAGCAGAGGGAAUAGGUAGAAGAUGAAAGAGUUUUGCCUGUAAUCGUUCUCUAACAACAUGACAAUCAAUGUCAAUGUGUUUAGUUCUCUCAUGGAACACUGAAUUAGCAACAAUGUGUCUUGCAGAAUUAUUAUCACAAUACAAAACAGUAGGAGCAGAGAGGGAGAUGUGGAAGUUGGCAAAUAGAUAAGUGAGCCACUGAAGCUCAUAAGCAGUGGCAGCCAAAGCUCUGUACUCAGCUUCUGAAGAAGAACGAGCAACAGUGCUUUGUUUCUUAGUUCUCCAUGAAAUCAGAGAGUGGUCAAGAAACACACAGUAACCAGAAAUUGAUUUCCUUGAAUCAAGGCAUGCACCCCAAUCUGAGUCACUGAAAGCUUUAAGUUGAAGAGAAGAGUUGGAGGAAUAGAAAAGUCCCUGCCCUGGAGAUCCUUUAAUAUAUCUCAAUACUCGAGUGAGAGCUUGAUGGUGCAUGAUUGUAGGAUUAGUCAAAAACUAACUUAAUUGCUGCACAGAAUAAGAUAAAUCUGGUCAUGUAUUUGUCAAAUAUAGUAGCCUACCAACCAGUCUUCUGUAGGAGACUGGAUCAACCAGUGUGUUAGAAGGAUCCUGAUGAAGUUUUGUGGUUUUGACCAUAGGGGUAGAGACUAGUUUGGAGGCAAGAAAACCAGUAUCUGAUAAUAUGUCAAGAGCAUAUUUCCUUUGACAAAGGGUUAUCCCAUCAUGAGACCUAGCAACCUCCAAGCUAAGGAAGUAUCUCAAUGUCCCCAAUUCUUUUAUUUUGAACUCAGAAUCAAGGUGAUGUUUCACAAAGGAAAUUUCCUUGAAAUCAUUUCCACCUAGGAUCAUAUCAUCAACAUAUAUAAGUAAGGUAGUGAAUUUUGAAUUGUUCUUCUUAGUGAAUAAAGAGUGAUCAUGAGUGGAUUGUUUAUAGCCAAUUGAGAUCAAAGAAGAGGACAAUUUGUUAUACCACUACCUGCUUGCUUGUUUAAGUCCAUAAAGGGACUUAUGCAAUUUGCAGACUUGAUUUGGUUUUGAAGUGAGGACACCAUCAGGGAUAGUCAUAUACACAUCUUCUUCUAAAUCACCAUGCAAAAAGGCAUUGUUCACAUCAAGUCGAUGAAGCAACCAGUUUUGAGAUGCUGCAAUGGCCAACAAUAAUCUCACAAUUGUAAGUUUGAUGACUGGUGCAAAUGUAUCAAAGAAAUCAACCCCUUCAAUUUGAUUAUAACCUUUCGCAACAAGUCUGGCUUUGUAUCUCUCUAUGCUGCCAUCUGACUUGUAUUUGAUUCUAUAAACCCAUUUGGAACCAAUGGGAACCUUGUCACUAGGCAAGUCAACUAAACUCCAAGUGUUGUUCAAUUCUAGUGCAUUUAAUUCAGCUUGCAUAGCCUUGACCCAAUGAGGAGACUUGACAGCUUGACUAUAGUGUUUAGGUUCAACAUUGGUGGUGAUGGACAAAAUAUGACUGAGACAUGGUUGUUUAAUGUUUGUAUAAGACAAAACAGAGGAUAGAGGAUGAGAAAUACCUUUCUAUGAUGAUGGAGGAGAUGAAGUGAGAAUGUUGCAGUGAAAGUCUCUAAAGUAUAUGGGAGGAUGUCUUAGUCUGUUUGAUUUUCGGGUGUGUGAUGGUAAGGGAGAGGUGAUAGGCUCAGUUGAUGUUGGAAUAUUGUUGGAGGUUGGUAUGGAUUGGUAGGAAGGUGAAAGAGAAUGGUUUN
rnacentral:lncRNA from 1 species